GACGUAGGGCGCGAGCGUUGUCCGGAUUUAUUGGGCGUAAAGAGCUCGUAGGCGGCUUGUUACGUCGUUCGUGAAAACUUGGGGGCUCAACCCCCAAGCUUGCGGUCGAUACGGGCAGGCUAGAGUUCGGUAGGGGGAGACUGGAAUUCCUGGUGUAGCGGUGAAAUGCGCAGAUAUCAGGAGGAACACCGGUGGCGAAGGCGGGUCUCUGGGCCGAUACUGACGCUGAGGAGCGAAAGCGUGGGGAGCGAACAGG
rnacentral:rRNA from 1 species